rfam:Camelus ferus unplaced genomic scaffold scaffold293, whole genome shotgun sequence.
AGGAUGGGAGCAGAGCAGAGGGACUGAAGAAAUGGCUCCUCCGUAUUCACAACCAACAGGAAUCUGGGUUCAUUGUGACAGGGUGUACAAAAUCGGUGCCCGUCCUAUGAACAAACACCCUACACGU